CAAAAGGAGAUAAAGAGAAGCGUAAAAGAAAAGAAAUAAGUACAGAGAUAAGGAGCCCGCGCGGACGCAGCCUCCCCCACCGAGCGCCGAGGGGGCAAAUGGCUCCUGAGGCGAUUCCCGGCGCUUAAAUCCUCUCGGCCCCGCCCCGCGCAGCCGCGCUGGGGCCCCGCGCACCUGAGCCGGCCCCGCCCCUCACACCUGAGCCGGCCCCGCCCCUCGCACCUGAGCCGGCCCCGCCCCGCCCGCGCCCGUAAAUCCCGGCGGAUCCGCGCCCGCUGCGCUCUGUGUAGCGGAUGCUCAUCCCGGGAUGCGGCGGGGUUGUCGUUCGCAGCGCUGCGCGGAGCCCCGGGCCGGGGGCUGCUCCCGGCGCUGCGCGGAGCUCGGGGCGCUGAGGUCAUCAGAUAUCCAGAGUGGGAAGGGACACACAAGGAGCACAGAGUUGAACCCUGAUGUGAAGGGCUCAUGUGGGGAUUGAACCCACAACCUGGGAUGGGAAUGCCAAGUGCCAGCAGGGGCAAUUCCUAUGGCAAUCCAGCUCUUCCUUUUAUGCCAAUGCUGCUUUACACACCAGCCCCUGGAAUUUCCACAGGGCAGAGCUCCAUAGCCAGCACCUGACCAUGGAACAACACAGUGAGAAGAACAUGAACUCACAACCAUUAAGGCCUGGCAGUUCCUGCAGUGAGAGCUCAGUGCACAUCCAAGAGGCAAUUCCAGCUCUGAAAGAAAGAAAGGAAGAAGAAAAAGGGGCUUCUGCAAUCGAACCCUGAAGCCGAGAAGCCCAAAAGCUCUGGAGCCUGUCUGCUCUGGAACAAAAGGAUACUGCCAGGGCUGAGGCACAUUCCCAGCAAACACUCCCAGCUCGGCACAGAGGCACCGCUGGAGCUCGGGGUGGGGCUGGGAAGGGCUGCCAGGGGGACACAGCCCCCAGCUGGGGUGGCAGCGGCAGUGACAGCAGCAAAGUGCCACGGUCUGAUGGCACAGCAGAGAGACCAAGGCCAGCAGUGGCCACGGGAGCUGCAGGUUUGAUUCUGCUCCCUGCGCUGCCACAGCCCGGCAGGAAACCCCCAGGGGGGACAGGAACUCUCAGGGGGCACAAAAUGCAGCACCUGUGACCCUGAUCCUGCCUGAACCCAGGUGUGGGGCCAGCCCCCAAGGGAAACACUGACCUGCCCUGGAUCAGUGCCAGGCACUGCCCCAGUUCCCAGCUCCCCCUGCUCCCGGGGCUGCCACCACAUUCCUGACAAGGUGACAAAGGCCACACCUGCACUGGCACGAGCACAGGCCCAUCACUCCAUCCAGGUCCUCCAAAUCGUCCCAAAGCUCCCCCUCUGUGCUUUGGGCAGUGCCUGCCCCGGGGCUGCCACCCGGCCCUGCAGCAUCCAGACCUGCAAGCCAGGAAGUUUUAAUGCUGGAGUCGGCUGCACUUCUCCCCUUCAGCGUUAUUUUCAGGAAGUAACAAACCCACCACAGUGCAAGGAUAAAAAAAGUGAUUUAAGGAAUGUUUUACUCACACACGCCUCACUUUACCCCUCAUAACCACCCCAGCAUGAAACAGACAUUCAGGAAUUAGUGUUCAGUAGCUGCCAUUGGAAUUUUAAGGGAUAUCGACAAAGCCUUGAUAAAUAUGUGGGGAAUUCCACACCACGUUUUCCUUCCCCAUCUGUGUCAGCAUCCAGCACGAUUCCCUGUUGCUGUUUGGUCCCCAGGAGCUGCAAGAGGAAUGUCAGUCACGGCUUCACCUCCUCGGCGUCACCUCGUUAGUCCGGGAGAUAAUUAAUUCAAAGAGACUUAAUCUGGUCAGUGGCAGAAGAGCAUCACAGCAAAACAUCAUCCUUGCCACAGGAUAUUCCCACCCCUGUGGCCUGUUCUCCGAGCAAGAGCUACUUCCCAAACUCAGUCAUUCCAUCUAAACCACAGCAGCACAGUUUGGAGGGACAGGAGUUUUCAGCCUUGAGUGAAGGAAGACAGAAGAAACAUCACUGGGAGAAAAUCCUGAAGUUUAAAAUCCUAUUUCUCCCUUCUUUGACUAAUGAACCUCUUAAAAUCCAGCCUGGAUUGUGCAGAAAAGUUCUUUGGUCCCACUUGGAAACUGAUCUCCUCAAAACAUCCACAAGAGCCAUUAAGCAGUUCUUACAACUGAUUCCAUUAAGGAGUAUGGAAAAGACAAUACAAAUACAACUGGAAAAAAAUUUGGCUCAACUUUUCCUCAGGAAUCAAUUGGGAGCUCACCAGCAAGGAUUUCUGACAGGUAGAGAGUGUGAUAUAAAAUAUAUAUGUGCAUAUAUAUAUAUAAAUAAAUAAAUAUAUAUAUAUAUUUAUACACACACAUA